CUACGUGCCAGCAGCCGCGGUAAUACGGAAGGUCCAGGCGUUAUCCGGAUUUAUUGGGUUUAAAGGGAGUGUAGGCGGUUUGUUAAGCGUGUUGUGAAAUUUAGGUGCUCAACAUUUAACUUGCAGCGCGAACUGUCAGACUUGAGUACACGCAACGUAUGCGGAAUUCAUGGUGUAGCGGUGAAAUGCUUAGAUAUCAUGAAGAACUCCGAUUGCGAAGGCAGCAUACGGGAGUGUAACUGACGCUUAAGCUCGAAGGUGCGGGUAUCGAACAGGAUUAGAUACCCUGGUAGUCCGCACAGUAAACGAUGGAUGCUCGCUGUUGGCCUUUAUGGUCAGUGGCUUAGCGAAAGCGUUAAGCAUCCCACCUGGGGAGUACGCCGGCAACGGUGAAACUCAAAGGAAUUGACGGGGGCCCGCACAAGCGGAGGAACAUGUGGUUUAAUUCGAUGAUACGCGAGGAACCUUACCCGGGCUUGAACUGCAGCUGAACGAUUCAGAGA
rnacentral:rRNA from 1 species